rnacentral:rRNA from 1 species
UUUAAAUUUAAAUAAUUAACUAGACUAGUAUUAGUUUAUGAUCUUGAAAAUUAAAGAUUUUGGCGGUAUUUUAGUCUUUUCAGAGGAACCUGUUCCAUAAUUGAUAGUCCACGAAUAAAAUUACUUAUUUUAAUAAAUUUGUAUAUCGUCGUUUAGAAUAUUUUAAAAGAAUUUAAUAUUCAAAAUUUAAAAUUAUUAAAUAAAUCAGAUCAAGGUGCAGUUUAUAAAUAAGUGAAAAUGGGUUACAUUUAUUAUUAUUUUUGAAUUUAAAUUUUAAAAAUUUAAUGAAAUUGGAUUUGAAAGUAAUUUUUAUUUAUUUAUAAAAUGAUUUUAGCUCUAAAAUAUGU